rnacentral:lncRNA from 1 species
ACUUCCUCUAUUUAUUUCAUCAUCUUCUCCAUUUCACCUCUCCCUUCUUCCUCUCCUCCCUUCCAAUGCACCACCACAAGCCUCUGUCAAACCAAUCUAAACAGACCUCUCCUCCAUUCUCAUCAAAGCUUCGGUGAGGAGUAGCUAGCUUCGAUGAACUAGAGCAAACCGCCCUGAUCUUUUUUCCUCUUUGAUUCACCAACGUUGUGAACAACCAACAGCAGUACUGUCCAGCGAGCUCUAUAACGGACUAGUUUUUUAUUUUUAGAUUUGACCGGAGAAGUUCAAAUUUCGAUCGCUCUUAUUUACAAUUUUGUAUUACAUGUAUUGCUACUGUUUUUUAGUUUAUCGUCCG